rnacentral:rRNA from 1 species
GACGAACGCUGGCGGCGUGCUUAACACAUGCAAGUCGAACGGAAAGGCCCUGCUUUUGUGGGGUGCUCGAGUGGCGAACGGGUGAGUAACACGUGAGUAACCUGCCCUUGACUUUGGGAUAACUUCAGGAAACUGGGGCUAAUACCGGAUAGGAGCUCCUGCUGCAUGUUGGGGGUUGGAAAGUUUCGGCGGUUGGGGAUGGACUCGCGGCUUAUCAGCUUGUUGGUGGGGUAGUGGCUUACCAAGGCUUUGACGGGUAGCCGGCCUGAGAGGGUGACCGGCUACAUUGGGACUGAGAUACGGCCCAGACUCCUACGGGAGGCAGCAGUGGGGAAUAUUGCACAAUGGGCGGAAGCCUGAUGCAGCAACGCCGCGUGCGGGAUGACGGCCUUCGGGUUGUAAACCGCUUUCGCCUGUGACGAAGCGUGAGUGACGGUAAUGGGUAAAGAAGCACCGGCUAACUACGUG